rnacentral:rRNA from 1 species
GACGAACGCUGGCGGCGUGCUUAACACAUGCAAGUGGAGCGGCGAACCAGGGCUUGCCCUGGGGCAGAGCCGCGAACGGGUGAGUAACACGUGGGUAACGUGCCCCGAUGACCGGGACAACCCGGGGAAACCCGGGCUAAUACCGGAUGUGCUGUCCCCGCAUCAGUGGGGAUUGGAAAGGAAGCUUCGGCCUCCGCAUCGGGAUCGGCCCGCGGCCCAUUAGCUUGUUGGUGAGGUAACGGCUCACCAAGGCUGCGAUGGGUAGCUGGUCUGAGAGGACGAGCAGCCACACUGGGACUGAGACACGGCCCAGACUCCUACGGGAGGCAGCAGUGGGGAAUCCUGCGCAAUGCGCGAAAGCGUGACUCAGCAACGCCGCGUGGGGGAAGAAGGCCUUCGGGUUGUAAACCCCUUUCAGGAGGGACGAAGCCUCGGCCGUUAAUAGCGGAUCGGGGUGACGGUACCUCCAGAAGAAGCCCCGGCUAACUACGUGCCAGCCGCCGCAGUAACAC